GACGAACGCUGGCGGCGUGCUUAACACAUGCAAGUCGAGCGGGGUCCAACCAGUGGCAACACUGGGGAAGGCCUAGCGGCGAACGGGUGAGUAACACGUGGGCAACCUGCCCCGAAGUUCGGGAUAACACCGGGAAACCGGUGCUAAUACCGGGUGCCCCCAUCUGAUUGCAUGAUCGGGUGAGGAAAGAUUCAUCGCUUCGGGAGGGGCUCGCGGGCUAUCAGCUUGUUGGUGAGGUAACGGCUCACCAAGGCGACGACGGCUGGCUGGUCUGAGA
rnacentral:rRNA from 1 species